rnacentral:lncRNA from 1 species
AAAAUAUCUCUCCCCUAAGCGCAAGUUCCUCUUCCUGUGUUUUUCUUUUCAUUAACCCAGUUACCCAAGUGUCAAACUUGAGAGACAUCCUACAUUGGCCCAUUUUCUCAGCCUCCAGAUUACAUCGGCUUCCAAGUCUGGCCACUUCUACUGGGUUAGUGUUUUCAAGCAGUUCCCUCUCCUCCAUGCCCUAGCUACUGCCCAGUCAUAUUUUGCUCAGAGAUCACCUCUCAACUUGUCUCCAUACCCUCCGUGCAGCCUCCACUCAUCUACCACUGCCAGGACCAGCUUUCUGGUUGGCAGCUUUGCGCCCGAGGGUUUCGCGAGCAGAGGCGGCGAGGACAGGGCGUCUCUGGCCCAGUCAGCCAGGAAGCAUGCGGUUCGGGCAGCAGCGCUAAGCGCCCCCACGCUGGGCACGGGGCGUACGAGCUCCGCGCGGCUAGCAGAGCGGCGGCGGUGGAGGGGAUGCACCCGGGACGCGCCAGGCUCCUGCCGCGAGCUACCAACCCGAGGUGGACCCUAAGUAGGGCUCAUCGCAGGACCGCGCAGACCCCUGCCCUCCGGGGCACGCGGCUGCGGAGCCUCGGGGACGUGUCUGCGGUCAGGAUGCCCUGGGCACCUCUCAGCUGGUGAGGAUGUCCUGCUGCGCGGCUCUGCAUCCACAGCCCCAGACCCUGGUGAACACGACUGCCUGGGCCCGGCAUUGGCCCCUCGUGCCGGUGGAUGAAAAACGCUGGAGUCCUUGAAUGCAUUAGCGAUC